GCGCUCACUUUGGCAGCACAUAUGCUAAAAUUUGAAAGGUACAGAGAAGAUUAGCAUGGACCCCAUGUGAAGCUGACACACAAAUUCAUGAAGUGUUGUGUAUUUUU
rnacentral:snRNA from 1 species